UGGGGAAUAUUGCACAAUGGGCGCAAGCCUGAUGCAGCCAUGCCGCGUGUAUGAAGAAGGCCUUCGGGUUGUAAAGUACUUUCAGCGGGGAGGAAGGUGUUGAGGUUAAUAACCUCAGCAAUUGACGUUACCCGCAGAAGAAGCACCGGCUAACUCCGUGCCAGCAGCCGCGGUAAUACGGAGGGUGUAAGCGUUAAUCGGAAUUACUGGGCGUAAAGCGCACGCAGGCGGUCUGUCAAGUCGGAUGUGAAAUCCCCGGGCUCAACCUGGGAACUGCAUUCGAAACUGGCAGGCUAGAGUCUUGUAGAGGGGGGUAGAAUUCCAGGUGUAGCGGUGAAAUGCGUAGAGAUCUGGAGGAAUACCGGUGGCGAAGGCGGCCCCCUGGACAAAGACUGACGCUCAGGUGCGAAAGCGUGGGGAGCAAACA
rnacentral:rRNA from 1 species